rnacentral:misc_RNA from 1 species
AACGCAUCUUGCGCUCUUUGGUAUUCCAAAGAGCAUACCUGUUUGAGUGUCAUGAAAAUCUCAACGUGUUUGGAUGUGGAGUAUGCGAUAUUGCAAUAUUGAUUUAUAUCGCUUCUCUUGAAUGCAUUAAGCAAAUCUUUGUAGACCAUGGAAAUAAGUGCAUUUGGCUUGAUAGUACUCUGCCCAUUGACUUGUUGCUGUCUACGGAAGGCUUGCUUUCAAAUUUGAAAGACACAUUCGACCUCAAAUCAGGUAGGAUUACCCGCUGAACUUAA